rnacentral:rRNA from 1 species
UACGGAGGGGGCUAGCGUUGUUCGGAAUUACUGGGCGUAAAGCGCGCGUAGGCGGCUUUGUAAGUCAGAGGUGAAAGCCUGGAGCUCAACUCCAGAACUGCCUUUGAAACUACAUCGCUAGAAUCAUGGAGAGGUUAGUGGAAUUCCGAGUGUAGAGGUGAAAUUCGUAGAUAUUCGGAAGAACACCAGUGGCGAAGGCGACUAACUGGACAUGUAUUGACGCUGAGGUGCGAAAGCGUGGGGGAGCAAACAGG